CGGCUGCAACUGCUUUCAAAUAAACUAGUGUCUAACUCACUUUCUGUUGGCAGGGUAGAAUGCUAGAGCCUAAUGGAGUGUUCUCAAUUAGGCUCGUCCGCUUAUUGUACGUAUUGAUUUCACUCUCUUCCUCUUAGUACACAUUGAUUUUAAAUAUGAAAAUUCAUUGUCAGUAUCCCUCGAACGUUUGUUGUUUUUCUAUAUGGAUUAUUUUUGUUCUUUAGGCUUUUUAAAAUUGUGGACUUUCAUUUGUGUCCCGAUGACUACUGGCUAUCUAAAAAGUUAAGUUUGUCAUAAGCCAUGAAAAACGUUUUCCUGCCUCAUAUUGUUUGCCAAACUUUAGAAAAGAUAAAUGAAGAGAAAUAUGUAUACAAGAAAGACCGGAAGAGAAGACAAAAUUACUGUUAAAUGAUUGUGAUUCUGUCUUGUAACUCAUAUGACAAUUUUUUUUAGUCAACAGUAUUAGUGUGUCAAGAUGAUGAUGAGGAGAUGUAUAUUAUUAUGUCUUCCUUUUGCUUCUGGAUUUUCUCCUCUACGCUUAAAUUUUGCAUCAACAGAGAUUGAAUUAAGUUACUUAAAUUGUAUAUUCAUUGAAAACACAAGCUUGCAAAAAGGAUUCUUACAAUGUGAAGCACAAUUUUGCAAGCAAUGUAUCUUGUUUUCUUUGAUAUUUGCUUGAAAUUUUUAAUUUUAACAUUGACAUAUCUUGUUCUUCACACAGGUUUUGUAUAUAAAUUUUAUUAGUAGUAAUUUAGCGUUUCUAAAAUUAAGCUUAACAAAUAAUCAAGGAUAAUCAACUCAAUUUAAUUUACUUACGAAAAAGGCAAAUAGUUUAUCUAUUGACCAAUAUGCCCUGAUUUCCCUUCCCCAGAAUUUUUGCCCUAUUUUACACACAUGUACUCUCUGAGAAGCAACAAAUUCGAGCAUAGCCAAGAAUGGAAGAAGAAUGAGGUGACAGAGAAUUUGGGAUUUUCUGUAAACGGCGGUUGCCCAUUUCCACUUUGCCAGUGAUUUCUCCAUUGAACAAAAAACCAACAACCCUUUUAAAUGAACCAGAAAAACAAACAUUAUUAAUUCAUCCAAACACGCACUACUACUCUUCUUCCUCUUCGACUUCUCUUUCUCCGCUCUUUGUGCUGCUUAAUGUUGUAAUGGGGCUAUGAUGAUUGAUUGCUUCCUUUCUGGGCUAUGUUCAAUCACGGCAAUGAGAAAACCCCGACACGUAUCUUGGCAGGGUGACCUGGUUAAGGCUUUGAAUUGCAAACUGGUGUCUGCAGCCAUGGCGGCGUCGCUUUUCUCUUUUGCUUUGUUAAGAAAUACAGCAAAAUCUGAGCCCUUAAUAUCCCAUUUCGUGGUCUUGAAUGGUGAGUCCAUUCUCGGGUCGGAAAACCCAUUACGGGUUUGAGACGAAGAAUGAGGCAUUGGAGAAAUUGGGAUUUUCUGUGAAGGGUGGUUGCCCAUCUCUGUUUUGCCAGUGAUUUUGCCAUUGAUAACCAAAAAAAACCAACAGCCCUUUAAAAUAAACAAAAUAAAUAAAUAAAAAAUUGGAUGAACUUCGUCCAAACACACCCCUAUACUCUUGUUGUUGUUGAUGAUGAUGAUGUUGUAAAGGGGCUGUGAUGAUUGCUUGCUUCCUUUUUGGGCUUUGUUCAAUCACGGCAUUGAGAAAAUUCGACCCGUAUCUUGGCAGGGUGACCUGGUUAAUGCUUUGAAUAGCAAAUGAGUGUCUGCAGCCAUGGCGUUGUCGCUCUUCUCUAUCGCUUAAUUCAAAUACAGCAGAUCUGAGCCCUCAAUAAUUUGUUUCAGGGUUUUGGAUGGCGAGUUUUCUCUGGUUGGAAAACCUAUUAUGGGUUUGUGUUGAAAUUUCAGCUCUGAAGAAUGAGGCAUACAACAAACGGGAAAUUCGAAGAUGAAAAAAACAAAUAAUUUCCCCAAACAUGGAAAAGGUUAGCCUAGAAAGAAAGAAAUGAGCCAAAUUUAUCUUGUUUUAUUCUUUACCAUACCUAUUUAAAGUAGUGUUUAUCCCCAAAUUUGAUGCCCUUUUCUAUAUCUUGAUAGUCCAAAAAUUCCGAGGCAAUGAAGAUUAUCUUAAAAAAGACUGAAAAACAUUUGAGUUAAUUCCAAAGCCUGGCUUGGCAAAGACAACUUGGAAGGUCUGUGAAGGAGGAUGAGAAAUUAUAAGUUUCUUGUAGAUCCUUCUCACGAGGCAACCAAUCUUUGCAGCCAUGCCUGUUUUAGCUCUGCUCUUUGAUUGAAUAGGCGAAAAUCUGAGCCUCCUACCUCAGUUUGACUUAACGUUUCAUGAUUUGAUCACUGAAACAGUAUCUGUUAGGGGCUUUCUUGAAUUGAUCUAAAAAAUCAGUUAUUGCUUUUCAAUCUUAAAAUUGAUUUUAUUUUUUCAAAAAUGUUGUGGGAUAAUUUGGUUUUCAUGAAAAGAGUGGCAAGCAAUGGCAUGGUCUCAAGUCUUGAUGCCUUCAUGUCCCCACUAACUUAUUUCUGAAAUUUGGUGACUGGUCCCAAGCAAGAGUCGAUUAUAGCAAACACAGGCGAUGGUGAAUUUUGAUAGGAAAGUAAAACAUUCAUUUCUGAAAUUUGAUGACUGGUCCCAAACAAGAGUUGAUGAUAGCAAACACAGGUGACGGUGAAUGUUGAUAGGAAAGUAGAACUACUUUUAGCUUCAACUGACAAGUCUAUUUAAAGUUUGGUCAGUAAUAAACUUGGCAUAUUGGUCUUUUUUUUUUCAUUAUCACUUAUCCUAAUGUUAAGUAAUAAUUACUUCUAUGCAUCAUGAGUAUAUCACUUACAAAGAAUCCCUCAAAUUGUCAAUGCAUGGUGAAUUCUGUAGUGUUCUAGCGCUCUUUUGCAAGUCAGAAUGUCCUUGAGUCUCACUGGACUUUUACUUGACAUGCUCAAUGCCUCUUGUUGCAAGGUCUUUAGCAUCUUGAAGACAGUUACAGAACUUAUGCCUUACAAUUCCAAGAAUUCUGGGAGGUCAAUCUUUAUCUUGCUCUUUCUUGCGGUGCCUUUUGAGAUUCUUCACUAAAAAAUCACUGGACAUUUAGUUGGAACAGCAUAUGAUAUUUGGAACAUGUUAUCUCUAUUUUUGGAAUAGGCCAGGUCAAGCCUAACAGCAUCAAGGAAGCAUAUGAAAGCUGGUGUUCCUAGGAAAUUGAAAAAUCCAUCAAAAAGGUUUGGGAAAUGGUACCUGCUGCUAUAUUUUGGGGCAUCUGGAAUGAACGGAACUGUAGAUGUUUUGAUGAGAUUUUAACACCUACACAUCAAGCAAAAUGCUUUAGUGAUUGAAUAGUUAUGUUGUGUAUAUGAGCAGGCAUUAUCUCCCUCUCAUGUAAUUUUUGCUUGCAUCUUCUGGAUGCCAUUAAUGAAUUACCCUUCAUCAAAAAAGUAGUGCAAGGUCAAAGCGAAAAUCCCCAAAAAACAUUCUUCUUUGUUGAUCUGAGUUGCUCAUCCUGAUGCUGUAGUUGUUUUGUUGAUCUUCUUGGCGCAUGGACAAAAAACAAAUUGCUUCAUUAUACUUAAUAAAUGGGGCUUAAGACAUUGUUUCAUGAUGUUUAACCAUUUUCUUAAUCUUGUCCAAAUCUUGCAGACUCUACCGGAGAUAAAGAGAAGGAACACUUUCAUACCAUGGUGUGCCGUGGCUGUAAAAAGUAAACUCUAUGCAUGAAGUUGUCAUUUGCAUAAUGAUAUGCAUAGUGCAUGGAGAACUUAUUAAAAAUGGUUUGUGAUUUCUACUUCACCUCUAUUUUUAUGUCUUAUCUUCAUUUUAACUUACUAUUUUCUGAAAUUCUAUGCUUGUUAAUGAGCAAUUGUUUGUAAUCAUCAAUUUAUAUGUGAAACUCUAGGUUGUCCUAUGGCUGUGUGUUAAAGAAAUGAAACUUGGCACUCAAUGAGUAUAAAGUGAAAUAUUAUUGUUGCACUUUGGUUAUAUUUUGAGAAUUAGUACUGUUGGUUAUAUUGAGGAUUACUAUAAACUGGCAUGUCAAUGUGGUACUGUGAACAUUGCUAUAGCUUGUUCAUUUGUCUUUUUCUCGAUACAUUCACUGCUGCCAUUGACAUUUAUCAAAUUAGGUGUCCAUGUUACAUAUCUAUUGCUUGAACCCCAGAUUUUUUUUAAAAAAAAGAAAACUUAUUUGUUCAACCAUCUUUGUUAGCUGUUAUUUCUAUUUCAACUUGUGGUUUGACUCAAUACCAAGAAAAAGGAGCAUUAUUGGUUCCUUAUUUGUUGGAACAAAUGACUCACAGAUUAACGUGAACAAAGUUAGGAAGAAUAGGAAGUGGACAUAUGCUUGUUUGCAAUGUAUGUUCAACCUAAAAUCUUAUAUAUAUGUUAAGAGACUAAGUUAAUUUUAACAUCUGGAUUACAGUUUCAUUGAUAAUUUUAGGAUAAAGCUUCAUACUAUAUGAUAUUUUUGUUUUAAAAAGGGCCACUAAAAGCAAAAUCAAAAAUAUAUGCAGUAGACAUCAAAGAGGUAGUAACAGCUUAAACUAAGUAAUUUGAAACUAAAACCAAUAUUGUUCUUGAAAAGUAUAUUAUAAAAUUUUCUAAUUUAAAAGUAAUAACAUCUUUGUUGUCUAUAUGCACUUUCUUUUUUAAGGAGGAGGAGAUUUAACAGCUUGUUUGGGUUGCUGCUACCAUAGUUUUUUUUUCUUUUAUGCUUCGCCGGAGUGGUCAAUGCUGCCAGUAGGGAUGGUGGAAGUGGCGGUGGUUAGUAGGAUUGACAGCUUUAAAGAGAGAUAAGGAUAGUUCAAUGAAAGAUAAGAUGACCAAGUUGAUGAAUAGUUGAAAGAUUCAGCAAAAAAAGGUAAAACCAGAUGCUUCUGUUUGGUAGGAUUCAGAUGAAGAUCAACUGCAGCACAUCAAAGUAUCAACUCUUUCAUGUGAGAUAGAGAAUUGGUUUAUGCAAUGGCAGGGCUCCUUGAGUAAAUGUACAAAGAGUAGAGUAAGAUUUUUUCUGGUACAAAAGUGGCAGUGCUGAGCCCACGGAGUAACAACUUCAAUGCCGUUGGUGUUUCUACAAUUACUCGUAUAUAUCUAGGAAAUGACUUUUAGGCAUGAAAUCGACAUGUAUGCUGAUUGAAGAAUUAAUGCAGCAGCUUCAUUUAAGAUUCAACGAAGUCCCAUAGGUAUACCAAACAUCUUUUGUUGAUUUGAUUGAUAGUUUGUAUAUAUUAAUUUUUGAUUAUCUCAUUUUGUUAAAAAUGUCGUGUAAGAG